GCAUAUGUUAGCAUAGUUUAACAUAAAACACUAGAAUGUGACUCUAAAAAUAGAGGUUUAAUUCCCCUUGC
rnacentral:tRNA from 1 species